rnacentral:rRNA from 1 species
AGUGAACGCUGGCGGUAGGCCUAACACAUGCAAGUCGAACGGCAGCACAGUAAGAGCUUGCUCUUACGGGUGGCGAGUGGCGGACGGGUGAGGAAUACAUCGGAAUCUACUUUUUCGUGGGGGAUAACGUAGGGAAACUUAUGCUAAUACCGCAUACGACCUACGGGUGAAAGCAGGGGAUCUUCGCACCUUGCGCGAUUGAAUGAGCCGAUGUCGGAUUAGCUAGUUGGCAGGGUAAAGGCCCACCAAGGCGACGAUCCGUAGCUGGUCUGAGAGGAUGAUCAGCCACACUGGAACUGAGACACGGUCCAGACUCCUACGGGAGGCAGCAGUGGGGAAUAUUGGACAAUGGGCGCAAGCCUGAUCCAGCCAUACCGCGUGGGUGAAGAAGGCCUUCGGGUUGUAAAGCCCUUUUGUUGGGAAAGAAAAGCAGCAGGUUAAUACCCCGCUGUUCUGACGGUACCCAAAGAAUAAGCACCGGCUAACUUCGUG